CACAUGAGUUGUGGGGUACCACUCCGCUGAACGCGGAUUAUGCAAGGUGUCGGGAUCAAAAAGGGGUUCCCCUUGGGGGUCUAACACAGCGGACCCAUCCGUCUCGCGCUCCGCGUCUAACGCUGGAGGCGCAGUGUCGCUGCGUUCGGGGGACGAAUUGUCUGAAUUAAUUGGGUCAAUGUCAUCGGACCCAUCUGAUACCUCCUCUGAGUCCGAAUCGGAGUCGGACGGAUCAGAUAGGGCUUUUGCCCUCUUCCAAGUCCGCACCGUUUUUGCCCGGCGGGGGGCUCUUUUACGUG